UGCACAUCAGACACGACCUCGAACACUUCCCUCAGUGCCAACGCAGGGGAAGAGCAGUGGACCCGGGGAGGGCGCCGCUGAGCUCAGGCACAGACUCUCCCAGG